GUGUAAGUGACUCUUGUUUGUGUGUGUGCGUGUGUUUUAGUGAAAGUGUGCAAGUUAAAGUGUGUGUUAGUGAGAAUGUGUAAGUUACUCUCGGUGUGUGUGUGUGUGUUAGUGAGAGUGUUCAAGUGACACUGUGUUAGUGAGAAUGUGUAAGUGACUCUUGUUUGUUUGUGUGUGUGUGUGUGUGUGUUUUAGUGAAAGUGUGCAAGUGUGUGUUAGUGAGAAUGUGUAAGUAACUCUUGGUGUGUGUGUGUGUGUGUG